AGUCACUGACAUUAGAUACCCCCGUAGUCCCAGCCGUAAACAAUGUGCGUUAGGUGUGUCGGUAACCACGUGUUACUGAUGCGCCGAAGAGAAAUCGUGAAACGCACCACCUGGGAAGUACGGUCGCAAGGCUGAAACUUAAAGGAAUUGGCGGGGGAGCACCACAACAGGUGGAGCCUGCGGUUUAAUUGGACUCAACGCCGGGAAGCUCACCGGAUAAGACAGCGGAAUGAUUGCCGGGCUGAAGACUCUGCAUGACUAGCUG
rnacentral:rRNA from 1 species